AUACGGAGGGUGCAAGCGUUGUUCGGAUUUACUGGGCGUAAAGCGCACGUAGGCGGACUGUCAAGUCGGGUGUGAAAACCAGUGGCUUAACCACUGUCCUGCACUCGAAACUGGUAGUCUUGAGUACCGGAGAGGAUGGCGGAAUUCCUGGCGUAGCGGUGAAAUGCGUAGAUAUCAGGAAGAACACCGGCGGCGAAGGCGGCCAUCUGGACGGAUACUGACGCUCAGGUGCGAAGGCUAGGGGAGCAAACAGGAUUAGAAACCCGGGUAGUCC
rnacentral:rRNA from 1 species